rnacentral:rRNA from 1 species
AUGCAAGUCGAGCGAGAAAGUUCCUUCGGGGACGAGUACAGCGGCGGACGGGUGAGUAACGCAUGAGAAUCUGCCCUUUAGUGAAGAAUACCUCCGAGAAAUCGGGGCUAAUGCUGCAUACGUCCCUUCGGGGAGAAAGAUGGCCUCUUUGCUGUCGCUAAAGGAUGAGCUUGCGUACUAUUAGCUAGUUGGUGGGGUAAUGGCCUACCAAGGCGAUGAUGGUUAGCCGGCCUGAGAGGGUGUACGGCCACAUUGGAACUUAGACACGGUCCAGACUCCUACGGGAGGCAGCAGUGAGGAAUAUUGCGCAAUGGGCGAAAGCCUGACGCAGCGACGCCGCGUGGAGGAUGACGGUCUUCGGAUUGUAAACUCCUGUUAAGUGGGAAGAAAGAUUCAUCCUUAAUACGGAUGAGAGAUGACGGUACCAUUAGAGAAAGCACCGGCUAACUUCGUGCCAGCAGCCGCGGUAAGACGAGGGGUGCAAGCGUUAUUCGGAAUCA